rfam:Arabis alpina cultivar Pajares scaff_65411_1_contig_0, whole genome shotgun sequence.
GGGUGCGAUCAUACCAGCACUAAUGCAUCGGAUCCCAUCAGAACUCCGCAGUUAAGUGUUCUUGGGCGAGAGUAGUACUAGGAUGGGUGACCUCCUGGGAAGUCCUCGUGUUGCACCCC